GAUGAACGCUGGCGGCGUGCCUAAUACAUGCAAGUCGAGCGAACAGAUGAGGAGCUUGCUCCUCUGACGUUAGCGGCGGACGGGUGAGUAACACGUGGAUAACCUACCUAUAAGACUGGGAUAACUUCGGGAAACCAGAGCUAAUACCGGAUAAUAUAUUGAACCGCAUGGUUCAAUAGUGAAAGACGGUUUUGCUGUCACUUAUAGAUGGAUCCGCGCCGCAUUAGCUAGUUGGUAAGGUAACGGCUUACCAAGGCAACGAUGCGUAGCCGACCUGAGAGGGUGAUCGGCCACACUGGAACUGAGACACGGUCCAGACUCCUACGGGAGGCAGCAGUAGGGAAUCUUCCGCAAUGGGCGAAAGCCUGACGGAGCAACGCCGCGUGAGUGAUGAAGGUCUUCGGAUCGUAAAACUCUGUUAUUAGGGAAGAACAAAUGUGUAAGUAACUAUGCACGUCUUGACGGUACCUAAUCAGAAAGCCACGGCGAACUACGU
rnacentral:rRNA from 1 species